ensembl:lncRNA
UGUGUGUAGUACAGCGUGUGUGUAUUACAGUGUGUGUAUUACAGUUACAGUGUGUGUGUGUAGUACAGUGUGUGUGUGUAGUACAGCGUGUGUGUAUUACAGUGUGUGUAUUUCAGUUACAGUGUGUGUGUGUGUAGUACAGCGUGUGUGUAUUACAGUGUGUGUAUUACAGUGUGUGUAUUACAGUGUGUGUAUUACAGUGUGUGUAUUACAGUGUGUGUUGUACUGUGUGUGUGUAUUACAGUGUGUGUAGUACAGUGUGUGUGUGUAGUACAGUGUGUGUGUGUGUAUUACAGUGUGUGUAUUACAGUGUGUGUAGUACAGUGUGUGUGUGUAGUACAAUGUGUGUGUGUGUGUGUAGUACAGUGUGUGUAUUACAGUGUGUGUAUUUCAGUGUGUGUAUUACAGUGUGUGAUUAUAAGGAGGAAUUUUGGGGUGUUUACAUAAAUGGAAUGAUUAGAGAUGAUUAGACGUGAGGAGAUUUGAUCAUUAGACGAGCAGCUGUUAAAUUGGAGGCCGGGGGAGAUACAUUAGUGUAGAGGUUAUUAAUGGGGUGAAUAAAAGUUUGUUGAGUUACAUUAAGGAUUUAAAUUCCAAUUUCGAGGAUUUUAGGAGGUUUACAGCGUAUUAGAUGAGGUAUAGGAGGUUGGAUAAGAAGUUUGCGAGUGGAUGUGUCUGGAUACGUGAAUUAGAGCAGAAUUUGGGUAAAUGAAUGAACUGAAAUGAACAGCACACAGAAAUACACCUCAUAAGCACUUACCACACAGAUAUCAGCGGUUAUAUCAUAGAGAACAGGGCGGGAUGUAAGAUGGAGCCCUGAGGGACACCUGCGGAUUCACCAUUACACCACACACUGAGGUCUGCAGGAGGAAGAAGAAGCGUGUAGAGGGAUUUUGUGUCGAUAAACCGAGCUGCACAAUGUUCAUUAUUUAAACCUUUAAUGAGGUGAUAUAUAACGAGUUAUAUACAGCAGUGAGAGUUUGGGAUAAAGAUGUGGGAAGAUGAAGGGGAACAUGAGGGUGUGCUUUUAAAAAUGACAGGAAUUUGGGAUCAACUAGAAGCAGACUGGGUACGUUACGCAGACGGUUGUAACAUUAGAUUAGCUAAUAUCAGUUGAUUUAGACUUUGGUGUGGAGAAAUGAUUAGAGUUUGCUAGAUAAUUUACAGAUUUAUUAAAUGUUUAAAAUAAGAGGGUUUAGUAAAGUGGGAUUUGGAGUCAAUUACAGUAAAGCUAUAUAAUGAAUUAUUAUUAAUCUGUUAUAGAACCCUAUAAUAAAGUUCCACAUAGAACUUCUAACCACUCAAAGAACACCUGUAGAACCACUGUAGAACACCUGUAGAACCCCCGUAGAACCCCUGUAGAACCC